rnacentral:lncRNA from 1 species
CCGGACUGUUUGAAAAUCGUCUUUUGAUUAACUUCGAAAAGAUUAAUUUGUUGAAAUAGUGAUUUGAUUUAAAAAAAAAGGACUUGUGUAAAAUAGAUUUAGGCAACUUAGUAGGAAUUUUAACUAAGUCUAAACAAAACUAAUAAACAAAUAAACACAUAAAAGGGGAAGAGAGGAUAAAGUAAAGGAUUUAGGCUAUUGAACCCAAAUCAACGAGAUCUGUCCUAGUCUAGUCAGGAUUCCGACCCAUUUCACCUGUCCUAAACUAUUUUUCGAGCCUUUGGCUCGAGUCUUACUCCACCUAUAUAAAAUACAACUUUGGCUUCGAGGCCGAAAUGAAUGAAUAAAUAAAUGACUAAAUGAAUAAAUAAAAAGAAGACAAUAAUAAAAAUUGAGACUUUUCAAGUCUCUUAAUGACCUCAUCAAUGGGUUUUGACCCAUUUCCCUUCUUCGUCUAUCUUUAAGCACCCGCACGCCAUGUAGUGGACCUCGGGUUUAAUCUUCGAACUUGACUCGAAGGGGUAGACCUCAUUAGCCCCUUACGAAAUGCAAGAGGAGAGGAAUCCAUUUGGAGUCGAGACAUUUUUUUGCAUGCGAAGAAAAGAUGAAUAAAUUAAUAUACGUUCAAGGCAUAAAAGUGACAUAUUUCAAAGCAAAAGAAAAUAUCAAGAACCAAUUUUGAAUGACAAUGGUAAGCACACUUGCACAAGAAUGAGAGUCAACAAAUAAAAUGCAAAACAAAGACACCCACUUACAUGCCUCAGGAUUUAUGUUCAUACAAGAAUGAAUAAAGGUAAAAGGAAGAAGGUCAUAUUCAAUGAAUUAAUACAAGAAACAAACAACGUAAGCUUGCGAAAGUAAUGGGAUGAGGCAACAAGGAAAAUACUCAUGACUUCUAAAAUUGAACAAACAUAGAUACUAAUCCAUAAAAAAAAAUAAUAAAGGUUAACUUUUCAAGCAAGAGAAUCUUUAAAUUUCAAUUAAGGCAACAUUAACGAAAAUUCAUACAUCUAAAUUACAACCAAAAUUUUAUGAGAAAAAACGUGUAAUGACCUAUGAUUUAUAUUUCUAAGACAUCGUUGAUUCUCCUUUGAUAUUAUGAAUCAGUGAGAGACACGAAUCAAAUCUUUACACUUACAAAGAGCACAUAUAACAAUCCAAAUGGCGCAAGAAAAUUAGAAUAAAGUUUAGCAUUUCUAAAAGUGAAAUAUUGUCACAAUCAUACUAUGCAUGACUUGAAAAUAUCUAAAUAAUUCUAUUUAGCCACAAAAAUUCGAACUUUCGCAUCAUUUUGACAAAUUUGAAAACAUGCGAAAAAGUAGAAUAAAUAUCGUGGAUAAAAAAUAAAGCUAGCACUUCAUAUCUUAUAUGAAGAUUUUGGAGAUCUCUUAAAAUAAUUAAUAAGUAAAUGAAAAAUUCUUGACUUAAUCAAUUACUAUUUUUAUUAAGGCGAAACAAACAAUAGUAAUUAUUUUUUCAAUAUAAAAGAAACAACUUUACAGCUAAAACAAAGAUAUCCGUCAACAAUAAAUUUAAACAAGACAUGAGUUUGUCUUUUGAGCAAAGAUCAAAACUUUAUACAUGACAAUCAAAGAAUAAAGUCAAAAGGCAAAACAAUCAAUAUUAACCAUUCUUUUCAACAUAAAAAAAAUAACUUUACACGCUAAAAACAAACAUGUCUACCAACAAUGAGUUUAAACAAGACAUGGGUAUGACUUUUCAAGUAAAGAUCUAAACUUUAUCCAAAAUAAUCAAAGAAUAAGGUCAAAAGGCAAAACAAUCAAUAUUAACUAUUCUUUUCAACAUAAAGAAAAUAACUUUACAUGCUAAAAACAAACAUAUCUACCAACACUGAGGUUAAAUAAGACAUGGGUAUGACUUUUCAAGUAAAGAUCUAAACUUUAUCCAAAAUAAUCAAAGAAUAAGGUCAAAAGGCAAAACAAUCAAUAUUAACUAUUCUUUUCAACAUAAAGAAAAUAACUUUACA